ACUCCUGACCUACCCAUGCAUUUCCAGAACUCUACCGGGAUCUCGUCAGGCCCGGUCGCUCGACCCCUGCUCAUCCUACGCAAAGCCCCCAUGACCUCAUCCGCCCUAAUGCGCCUGUAGUUCCCAAGGUCUCUAUGUAGCUCUGAAUGCCCCAACUUCCCUAGCUCUAUGUUACGAUCCUCCUCAUCGUUAAGUAAGUCUCGAAAGUAUGCCUGCCACCUCUGCUUGACUUGAGACUCCCC
rnacentral:lncRNA from 1 species